rnacentral:rRNA from 1 species
UACGUAGGGGGCGAGCGUUGUCCGGAUUUAUUGGGCGUAAAGAGCGUGUAGGCGGCCAGGUAGGUUCCGUUGUGAAAACUCGAGGCUACAACCCUCGAGACGUCGAUGGGAAACCAUCUGGCUAGAGUCCGGAAAGAGGAGAGUGGAAUUCCUGGUGGUAGCGGUGAAAUGCGCAGAUAUCAGGAAGAACACCUAUGGCGAAGGCAGCUCUCUGGGACGGUACUGACGCUGAGACGCGAAAGCGUGGGGAGCGAACGGG